GAAACCUAGGGUUAUCACAAUAGCCGCCUCCUCUCUUGCGCUCAUCUAGACUUUUUUGUCAUCGAUUCCUCCAGAUCUCGCUUCUAUGGCGAAUGAAUCUUUUCAUUAUAGCUUCUGUGUAAUAGAGAGCCUUAUGUUCUACACAUCGGUGUUGAUUUUUCAGCGAUUUAACCGUUUUGAGGUAUCGCAUCGGCAGAUCUGACGCAGAUCUCAUGAAAGCUAUGCUUCCUCUACAGAUCUGCGGCUGGAAUCUUUUCGUGAAGGUUUCUAAGAUGUGAAUCGGUUGCGUUAAAGCGCUUUUGAGGCUGAAACGGAGUCAUGACGGACGCGAAGGGUUGUUCAUGUGUGGGUUAAGUUAAAAAAAAAUUAGGAUGUAGAAGAUGUUGAAUUGCAUCUUUUGUCAUCCGACCUUUGCCAUGUCAGGUGCGCUUGCAUGGCAGGUCAAAAACUGAUCCUUAAUAAAAAAAAAGUUUUGUGGUUGGGAGAGGAGUUCGCACGGGUGAUUUUUUUUAUCCCGGGUUCUCCUCUCCUUGUGUGCGUGUCUUGCUCUCUGCUUUCUCACCCUCUAUUUAUUUAUUAUGCACCGAAACACAAAGAGACCAUCAUGAAACACCAAGUAGUUGAAAGCUAGCUUAUCAACCUGGAGCUGUGGCCCUCAUAUCUCUUCAUGAACCCAAGUUGGCACCCGUAAGUAUACUGAUUUACAUUUUUUAAUUUCUGUCAAUUAUAUCGCAAACCACACAACCAUACCAGAAAUAUAACCUGAUACUUUCAGUGCAAGAAUACUACAACAGCCGUGAUUUGUCGUUCUUAUUGUAUCUCAAAUCCAUUUUUUUAGAAGUGCUUUUUUAUGAGACGCUUGGAAAGUCAUUGAAACCUACAAUCCAAAUUAUUAGAUUGUGUAAAUUUACCUUAAUUUUAUUUCAGAACAUUACCUCAAUUUUCUACUGUACACGUUAUAUCAACGUUAUAUCUUGUUGGAGAUGUUUGAUUCUUGAAUUGUUUAAUUUUGUUUGCACCAUAAUUCAGAAUUUGUGUGUUUAGGAAGUUCGGAGCCAGUGAUAUAUGCAGGUUGUUGUGGGCGAGUAAAACUUUUGAUGUUCCUCGAUCUCAUAAACGGUUUAUUGAAAACAGAGGUAUUAUCAAGCAAAUGUAUGCCAUUGUUGUAAUUCUUAAAUUUUGUAAUCUAUAUCUAUUUAUUUAAUUUUGAAAGAAUGUUUAUGAUGUUAACUUUAGUCCAUUAUUGGGUAUGUUAUUAGACAAUCUUCUGUAACAGUUCGUAUUAUGUCCUGGCAAUACAGUUGAAGUUUCUGUCCCAAUGAUUAAUUGCAGCAUUGUGUAUACAAUUUUAUUUUUGAGGUUGCUAAUUUGUUUAUUACAGAUUGUAGUGAAUGUUCCUCUCUUCAAGUAAAGUCGCUUAUUUUGUAGGGAAGUUGCUACUAAAUAUUAAGAUUGAUACUCUCUUUGGCUCAUUUUGAAAAUGGAUCUUGUGAUAUAAAUCUGUAAGCUCAAAAUGGUAGAGCGCUCUUCUUCUUUUGAAGUUGAGAGCGCUGCUUUUCUGAACAGCUUGCCUAGCGCUUCAAUUUAUCUCUCGCUAUGAUGGAGAGAAACCCGAUGGAGCAUUAGGACGUUGUGUUUUUGUGUUUUUUUCUCUACCGUUCUGCUGCAAACAAUUCACUGUCUAUGGUUCUGCUUAAUGUGAUUCUAAUAGAUAAAAUUUCUCUUC